GAUGAACGCUGGCGGCGUGCCUAAUACAUGCAAGUCGAGCGAACGGACGAGAAGCUUGCUUCUCUGAUGUUAGCGGCGCACGGGUGAGUAACACGUGGAUAACCUACCUAUAAGACUGGGAUAACUUCGGGAAACCGGAGCUAAUACCGGAUAAUAUUUUGAACCGCAUGGUUCAAAAGUGAAAGACGGUCUUGCUGUCACUUAUAGAUGGAUCCGCGCUGCAUUAGCUAGUUGGUAAGGUAACGGCUUACCAAGGCAACGAUGCAUAGCCGACCUGAGAGGGUGAUCGGCCACACUGGAACUGAGACACGGUCCAGACUCCUACGGGAGGCAGCAGUAGGGAAUCUUCCGCAAUGGGCGAAAGCCUGACGGAGCAACGCCGCGUGAGUGAUGAAGGUCUUCGGAUCGUAAAACUCUGUUAUUAGGGAAGAACAUAUGUGUAAGUAACUGUGCACAUCUUGACGGUACCUAAUCAGAAAGCCACGGCUAACUACGUG
rnacentral:rRNA from 1 species